rnacentral:rRNA from 1 species
CCGUGAAAAAAUUAGAGUGUUCAAAGCGGGCAGAUAUUUUUCCUGCCACCGAAUACAUUAGCAUGGGAUAAUGGAAUAGGACCCUGACCUCCUAUUUUCAGUUGGUUUUGUUUACAGCGAGGUUAUAUCAGGGUAAUGAUUAAUAGGGAUAGUUGGGGGCAUUAAUAUUUAAUUGUCAGAGGUGAAAUUCUUGGAUUUAUGAAAGAUUAACUUCUGCGAAAGCGUUUGCCAAGGAUGUUUUCAUUAAUCAAGAACGAAAGUUAGGGGAUCGAAGACGAUCAGAUACCGUCGUAGUCUUAACCAUAAACGAUGCCGACCAGCGAUUAGGAGACGUUGAAUACAAAACACCGCCGUUAAUCCUUUCGGGGGUUAAUGGUUGGUGAAUGACUCC